CUCCCUCCUGGCUGCCUUAAUUGCAACUUCCGGGAAGGAUUCCGUAAAGCGGGCGGGAUUUCGCUUUUGGGGGGGAAAAGAGUUUGGCACUGAAGGUCUUUUUUUCCCCCGGAGUCUCUCUCUUUCUGGAAUGGGGACGCGCCUGAGGUUUCCACUAAGAACCGGGUGAUCAGUGUUGUGGAUUAGCCUUCCGAAGAAAUGGAAUCUGCUGUAGCGGAGACCGCAAGUGGAUUUCCCAGGGCAGGAAGUGACAGCAAGGAAGAGGGACAGAACAGCCCUGCCGACCCACCUCCUGCUCCAGAUACCUCUGUGUCAUUUUCACAAAUGCUUCACCUGAUCCAGACUGGACAGGACAUCCCUGGACUCCAGAAGUUAAAUAUCUCCGCCACGAAUGGGAGUCCGACACCAUCACAGAUGACUCAGAAACCCAAGCCGUGGGAGACAAAAGCUUGACCAAGUGGUGGAGUUGGAAACUUUGAAUGAGAGAUUUAGCACUCUAUUGGAUAUUAAAUAAAUAUCUUGGCCUUUCAGUUCUAAAAUGAUUGAGUGUACUGUUAAAAAUAACAGUUUGUUUCCGUGAAAGCCAAUAUCCAAAGAUGAUUUCUGUGGUGUUAUAUAUUCAUACCUGCACAUACCUUUCACAUUCUUUUGCUAGAUAUAGGUGAGGCAAGGAACUUAAAAGUUUCUACUCUUAACUGGGCUCAAAUUUCUCACUUAUCAUAAGGUGGUUUGUUUAGUUUUGGCUUAAUGUGGUGUGUGAAGUAAAAUGAAUCACAUAUUUCACAGACCAUGGCUUAUAAAAAUAAUUGAAAUACAUAGAAUUAAACAUAACUGUAAAUAUUUGGGUUUUAGUUUGGUCUCAAAAUACAAGAUCUUGAUAGCAAAAAUAGAGAAUGUGUGACCUGCCAGAUGGAGCCCAACAUUCCCACCAUUUUGAGCAUAUUUGACUGAGUACAGCAGCCAGUAGAUUUCCUUCACUAGCUAAGUUCAUAGGGGAGACGAAUGCUAUAAACAUAGUCUCAAGAUUCUGAGAUUGUAGUGUGCAUAUAUGCGUAUGUGUUUAAUUUAAAAAAAUACUGUAAUAAACAUGAAAAGAAAAGCAGUAAAAAAGUGCAAAGAAAUAAAUAGAGAAAAAAAGACAAAAGUUAUAUAGAACAACUUCUGGUCUUCUUAAUAAUUACAAGUACGUUUAUAUUUUACUCUAUGGUUGUAACAUAAAUUCUUUCUUUCCAUAGUCUAUUCUUUCUAAACCCUUAAAUCACAAGUUCAUUUUUUUCUUUCUUUCAGCAAAAAGUCCAUAGCAGGUUUUCAGUAUUAAUAAAUGUAGAUAUUGUCUUUCCAUUAAUUAAGCAAGUCAAGUUUGCUAUCUCAGCUAAUUUUGUCAUCUUCAGCAAUUAUUCCUCUUGAAAACCAAAAUACA